rnacentral:rRNA from 1 species
CAGUAGCCGCGGGAAUACCGAGGGUGCGAGCGUUAAUCGGAUUUACUGGGCGUAAAGCGUGCGUAGGCGGCUAAUUGAGUCGGAUGUGAAAUCCCCGAGCUUAACUUGGGAAUUGCAUUCGAUACUGGUUAGCUAGAGUGUGGGAGAGGAUGGUAGAAUUCCAGGUGUAGCGGUGAAAUGCGUAGAGAUCUGGAGGAAUACCGAUGGCGAAGGCAGCCAUCUGGCCUAACACUGACGCUGAGGUACGAAAGCAUGGGGAGCAAACAGGAUUAGAUACCCGCGUAGUCCCUGUCUCUUAUAA